rnacentral:rRNA from 1 species
CAGCAGCCACGGGAAUACGGAGGGUGCGAGCGUUAAUCGGAAUUACUGGGCGUAAAGCGUACGCAGGCGGUUUGUUAAGUCAGAUGUGAAAUCCCCGAGCUUAACUCGGGAACUGCAUUUGAAACUGGCAGGCUAGAGUCUCGUAGAGGGGGGUAGAAUUCCAGGUGUAGCGGUGAAAUGCGUAGAGAUCUGGAGGAAUACCGGUGGCGAAGGCGGCCCCCUGGACGAAGACUGACGCUCAGGUACGAAAGCGUGGGGAGCAAACAGGAUUAGAUACCCCGGUAGUCCCUGUCUCUUAUAC